CUGUGCUUGGUUGGAGAAUGUUCAUGGUAAACGCAUUGGCUGUCUCUUUACUGAUCGAGGCGGGGAGUUCACUUCUCAGCAGUUUGAAGCUUUCCUGACUGAGAAGGGAAUCCAGCAUAGCCUCUCAAGUCCUGGAUCUCCAUGGGAGAUUUGUGAGCAAGCAAAGCAAACGUUGCUGCAAGGACUGAAAACAUUGUUGCAUGAUGCCAAUCUCCUGAGAAGUUUUGGGGGAGUCUUUGAACUCGUUUGUUUACACUUUUAAUCGCAGGUUGUCAUCACCUAUUGGUUGUACCUCCUAUGAGAAGAUGUUUGGUAAGAAACCCAACAUCAAGCACAUGAGAAUCUUUGGUUCUGACAUGUGGGUACACACCCCACAGAGCAACAAGCUUGGGAAGCGUGGGGCACAUGGUUUGUUCAUGGGGUACGAAAAAGGUGCAUACAGGGUAUGGAUGACCAACUCUAAGUCCAUUAAGUUCACAAGGAGUGUUGAGUACAAUCCUAAGUGGGGGGAAAAUGUGGGAAUUUUCCAGAGUUACCCAGAGGAGGAUGAAGGUGAUGUCAAAGAAGCAGCUAAAGCUGAGGAAGCUGCUGAGGAUGAUGAUGACGAUGAUGAUCAGAGUUCGGAUUCCAGUUCAGUGGGCGGCGCUGCUGCUGAUGUCAGUGACAGUGAUGACACAGCAGACUACAAGAGCGCAAAGGCCUCAGUCAGACCAUCUGAUGCGUCUGACAAUGAACUGGAAGAACCACUGUUCACCAUUGGUCACUUUUCUCCUAAGAAGGAGGAGAUGAGUCCAGAAGACUUGCGUCUAGUACGCAGAUCUGAAAGAGCCACAAAGGGCAGACCUCCAAAGAGAUUUGCUGAUGAGUUUGCUAAGACAGCAACUGCUGUUCUUAGUAGCUCAGAGAAGGUAUGGGAACCUUCAAGCUUCAAAGAGGUUCAGGAGUUAACCUCUAAAGAUGCUGAGCCUUGGCUUAAUGCCAUGAAGGCUGAAGUUGAUUCCUUGAAUAGGAACCAAACUUGGGAACUGGUACCGGUAGUCCCAGGGAUGAGACUGGUUGGCAGCAAAUGGGUCUUCAAGGCCAAGACAGACCAGAAUGGCAAGGUUGUCAGACACAAAGCCAGAUUGGUUGCCAGAGGUUUUUCACAGGUACCAGGACAGGAUUACCACGAGACCUACUCACCCACCGUCAAAUAUGAGAGCAUUCGGCUGAUGCUCAAGAUAGCUGCAGAGGAGAAACUGCAUGUUUCCCAUCAUGACAUUAAUACAGCUUUUUGUACGGGAUUUUAGAGCAGGAGCUGUUUAUGCUUCCACCUGAUGGGAUGCAGAUACAGAAGGGAAUGGUCUGUAAACUGCGGAAAUCCUUAUAUGGUCUCAAGCAGAGUGCCAGGUGUUGGAACACAAAGCUCACUGAGACAUUGCUUUCUCUAGGUUUUCACCAGGGCAAGGCUGAUCCAUGUGUGUUUGUCAAGGAGGAGGGGCAAAACAAACUGUAUUGUUUAUGUUUUGUUGAUGAUCUUCUGAUGUUUUGGAAGAAUCAGGCUUUCUACCAAAGCACCCUAGCUCAGCUGAAGGAGCACUUUGACAUGAAGGAUCUUGGUGAGGUAUCCAACUAUCUUUCUCUGCAGGUGGAGAGGGACCAAGCAGGUAAUUUUCUGGUACACCAAACACAGAAAAUUGCUGAUGUAUUAACCAGGUUGAAUUUGGUUGAUGCAAACCCAGCAGACACACCGAUGGUGACAGGUUACCAGGUAGACAGUACUGCUGAAGCGUUUUCUGACACAACGCUGUACAGAUGCAUUCUAGGCAAGUUGAAUUUCAUUGCUAGAUGCUCAAGACCUGACAUAGCUGUAAGCACUAACCUGCUUAGCAGACAUGCUAACAAUCCUACUGUUCAGGAUUGGAAAGCUCUGAAGCGCAUAGCCCGCUAUUUGAAAGGGACUUUGCACUACAGGCUGAGGUUCACCAGUCAGAAGACUGGAGGUCUUGAAAUCUUUGCAGAUGCAAGUUUUGGAAGUGACACCACGGAUGGUACAAGCACUUCUGGAGUAUGCUACAUGUACAACCACUGUCUGUUUGACUGGCUGUGCAAAAAGCAGACGACAGUGAGCCUAAGUUCCUGUGAAGCAGAACUCAAUGCUCUGUCAUUUUCACUCAUGGAUUGUGAAUGGUUGAUGCAACUGUUUAAGGACAUCAGAGUUUCUGUGAAAUGUCCUGUACAAGUGUAUCAAGACAAUAGAUCGUGUUUGGCUUUGCUGAACUCGGAGAGUUGCAAGCAAAGGACCAAGUACUUGCAGAUUAAGCUACAUCGUGCAAGAGAGUGUAUUCAGAAAGGACUCAUUCAGGUGUCCUACAUGCCAGGAAAUGAAAUUCCGGCUGAUCUGUUGUCUAAGGUUGUUAACAGAGAACAACUUAAGGUUUGCGUACAAAGGUUGCAAUUGGGUUGAACCACAGGUACUACAGGUUACACGGAAAGGGGGAGGAUGUUAGGAUAUUUCCGUUCCACCUUAAAAGGGAGCAGGCUGUGAGUCACAGAGUCUGCGUAUUUCCUGUUCACAGGAUGUUUAUGUUUUCUGUUGCUUUCGUUUUCUCUCUGUUGUCGCAGACACUAAAGCAGUCAGUCAUGUUUUUCUGUGUUCUGAUCAACGCUGAAUAAACUUGUAAAUAAUGCUCUCCUGACUGCAACUUUUGGCUGUGCAUUAUCUGCUGAUAGAGCGUGCAUGAGUCUGGAAUGUGUACAAGAUAUUUUCUAGAAACUCAUGUCGCUGAGUGCCUACGGGAGGUAGAUGGAUCGUCCGGCAGACGGCUUGGGGGCCAUGAUGGACUUUAUCUCCCUGGCAGUAUCCCAACAGAAAGUUCCUGCCUUGGGACCAUUUUUGAACUCUUCCCAGGAAAGGGGGUGAGAAACCAGGGGGUUUCAGAGUGUUCCAGUUAUGUUUCAUUCUUGAGCUUUGGAAUGGCUCCCGGACAGAAAGUAAGUUGCAAUCUGAUUUUAGCAAGGCCAAAGGCUCUGAGAAAACAAUGGACUCUGUUCCCUACCUUUGUUGCAGUCUUUUAGUUACAGCAAGAGGAAUAUGCUUAGCUAAUGCUUUUUGUCUUAGAGGAAAUGCAGUUUUAAAAAUGCUUGAGGCAAGGCUUUGAGGCCUGGCUUGGGGGGGGGGAAUUCACAAAUAGUUUUUAGGGUUUUUGGGGUAAUCCUAACUGACUGUCUUUCUUCAUUUUUUGUUUCAGCUGUAGGUAUAAAUUCAUGGCCAAAAGCCUUAUUGAUACACAAUUUUCCAUCCGAUGCCUGCUUACUCGGAAGUAAGUCCUACUCUGCUCCCAUGUGCGGAGCUAGCAGUUCAGGCAGUUCUGCUGGCAGGAGGCCAAAGGACCCAGAGUGGUUUGCAACCAGGGUGGGUUCCAAAUGCUGCCCUUUUUGAUACGUUUCCAUUUAUUCUUUUGCGUGGGGACUGGCCAGAUUGAAAACCCCCCACCCCAUUCAACAGAAAGACUAGCAAAAGAUUUCAAAGGCGGAAUUUCCAAAAGAUGGCACUUUGUCCUGAAUUUAAGACAAGUCAAUCGAAAAAUCAUGGGCUUUUUUGGCAUUUAUUUGGGGCCUUGUCUAAAAAAAAAAAGCACUACAAUUUUGGGCUUGUCCUGGUUUUUACUUUUUGAAAUAUGGCAACACUAAUUAUUCUGGGCUCUGCUUGAACUGAAACUCCCUUUUAGAGCUCAGCCAGUAGACACUGAAUUUCAGGGUCAUGGGUUUAAGCCCCACUUUGGGCAAAAUAUUCCUGCAUUGCAGGGGGCUGGACUAGAUGACCCUCGUGGUCCCUUCCAACUCUGCAAUUCUAGGAUUCUACCAUGUCUAGAGGAGAGAUCGCCCUCUUGUGGGCAGUGGAGGAAUGAUGUAAUGUUGGUUGGUGGGAACUGUUCUUGAGUGUUGCCUUAUCACACACAUGCAACAGCACAACAGUCCUGUGAAAGGAAGGGGGGAGCAUUUCUGCAGGCUGAUGUCCAUCCAUCCAGCUGCCCAGGCCCCAGCACCUCCCCCUAACAGAGAAGGGUCCCAGUCUGGAAAUCCCCCCUUCCUGCUGGAGAUGAGGCAGUGAGGGACUCCAGACAGACAGAGGCGUCCUUGCUCUGGAAUUCCCUUGCCAGCAGGGAGACUUCAAAAGCCCCCCCCAUGCCUCCCCCUUCCCUCAUUUAGUAUGGAGACUUUUCAUCUUGUGGUUUGGUCAUUUCAAAUCCAGUUUUUCUCUCUCUCCCUGCAAUUUUAAUACUGUUGUUGGUUUCCUUUUUUAAAUUAUUCUGUUCACGACUGAUAUUUCACAUGGCGUUUGUGAAUGCAAAGCAACUGUGGCUCUUAUGAUCCCUGCAGGGUAUUAAGUGUUGUUCUAACCUCCCUAUUGCAGGUGGAAAGAGGAAUGUGGGGCUUGCUUAUAUCAUCUUAGGGUGGCAAGAUUAAGAUUUGGGACUGGGACUUUGAGUAUCAAGACUUAAACUAUUACUAAUGCUUGAUUUUGCAUGACAUGAAAGACCGUAACAAUCGCGUUCCGUAGAUGUGGUCAACAAUGCGUUAAGAACAGGUCAGGGUACUGAACUCAAUGUGAACUGAUCAGAACAUUCCCAGACCCAUGCGCAGAGGCAAAAACAUCCCAGCAUCCAUCCCAGCAUCUCCCCCUUUCUUUUCUUAUCGGCGAGGUGUUACUUUGGUUGAAUAAGAGAAAAAUACUUCGGGAUACGUGGUAUGCCAGCGCAUGCCCGAAAUACGUUCGCCAGGGUGGACGGGAGAAAAUUACUUCGGGAUACGUGGUAUGCCAGCGCAUGCCCGAAAUAAGUCUGCCCACAUCUCCCCUAUCAUUUACAGUUGAUGUUGCCAUUUCGCAUAGUAGGCGGCAAUGAUUUUAUUAGGUGGCAGAGGAGGAGAAAAAAAACUGAGACCAAAGACGCAUGAGACCAGGAAUGCAUUGGAUGAAGCAGCAUAGCAAAAUUAGUAUACAUAUUAUGACAAUAGCAUAUUGGAAAAGAUUACGAAGCCAAUUCAGGUUAGGCAACCAGCCAGUGAGCCACUGGGUGAACGAAUCCCAGAGGCCAGAGAAUCCAACGUCCAGUUUAAUGUGAUGUGUGAGAUUUUGCAAAUGAGAGAUUUGCUUUUGAAUGGCUUUAGAAUUAUCAGUAAUAUUGAAGCAACACAUGUCAUUCACUUGUUCACAGCCAUAAUGAUGAAGCAUGAGCAAAUAGUGAUAGCAGCACGAUUUUGUAAAAGUCCAUUAUGAAGUUCACUCUGUUCUUUAUUCAGAAGGUGAAGAGCUUGUGAAGUAAAAUUCAGGGCUUUUGCUGCAGAACAAGCUAAGGAAUUAAUGUUCAUACUAUUCCGUACAGCCAAUCCAGGGACUCCUAAGAGAGAAACAGCUAAAGAGAUAUAUUCAGACCUACUGGGAAGAGAGACAGAAUCAUCACAAUCAUUAGUCAAUUCCACAGAGCGGCGCUAUCUAGAGCGGGUCAAAUGAUGCUUUUUGGGUAAAAUGAUGGACAAACGGCUUAAGCAGCAGGGUGUGCCAUGGCUGAUGUAUUGUUGGCACAUGGUAGGGGAAUUCAGCAUUCCUUGCGGUAGGACUUUCCAUUGAUACCGUUCCGUGGGCUGGCUCUUAUUUAACACAGGAACAGGGAAAGCAAAGAAUUUACGAUCCUUCUCCUGUAGGGGGAUGGAGAAGAAACCAUCUUGCAAAUCUAUGAUAGCCAAUUGAUAAGAAUGGGGGAUCACAUUCGGAUUAGGCAGACCACACUGCAAAGGCCCCGUGGGUUCAAGGAUGUCAUUAAUUUUCCUUAAAUCCUGGAGAAAUCUCCAUUUCCCACUUUUCUUUUUUAUGACGAAGAUGGGAGUGUUAUAGGGGCUAACUGAGGACUCGAUAUGGUCCGCCGAUAAUUGUUGAUUCAUCAAUUCUUUUAAAGCAAGUAGCUUUUCCCCCGUUAUGGGCCAUUGUUCUACCCAUACCGGGAUGGUUGACUUCCAGUUGAGGGGGAGUGCAAGCUUACUCAUUAAAUUGAAUGGUAGCUUGUAAUUGUUGUAGUAAAUCUCUGCCCCACAGAUUAAGGUGGAUUUUUAGCACGCAAGGCUGGAUGUAUGCAAUGGUUUCAGAGCUAUCAGGCAGAGAAACAGGCAACCACUUUACGCUUUUGGUUGAGGUUUGAGGUCCACCCACGCCCCAAACCGCAGAGGCAGACUCAAGGCCAGGGGCCCAGCAACUACUGGAUAUGACAGAAAUGUCUGCGCCCGUGUCAAUCAAGCCUUCCAGAACCUAGCCAUUGAUUUUAUACUUACGAAGAAGUUUCUGUUGACCAAUCCUCUGGAUUACAGCUAACAGCUGUGGAGAAAGGGGAAGGGGAGAGAGCUGGUGCAAAUUACUAUCCACAAUAGAAGCAGUAGGAUGAGAAGGGAGCACCACCAAAUGCGCCCAAGAAUCACCCUUUUAACUGCAUGGGCAUAUGGCUCCAGAGUUGAACCAUGAUUGUGCCCACAUAGUCAGGAUCUAGGACUCCCGGAAUAACCAGGAUUCCUUCUUUGGCCGCAGACAAUUUGGGCAAAAUUAAGCCUGCGACCUUAGGUGGUAGUGGGCCCGCCAACUGAGUGGGCAUGAGCACAAUUUCACCAGGUAAAACAGCGUCUUUGGUUUCCUGAUUAAUUAAGUCAAUAGUGAAAUCAGAGGGUGUAUCAUUAGAAAAGGUCUUAAUAGUGGAGACUAACGGCGGAGGGCUCUCUAUUUGUCCUGGCCCGAGAGCUAGGCCCCCAUGGAGUUUCCCGAACUCCUGCACUGAUUUGCCCAAUGAUAACUUUUACCGCAUUUCGGGCAUUUCUUGGAAGGCUUAGCCUUAUUGGCUUCACCAUUCCUGUUUGCUCCCCCGCCAGGGGCUCUGCAUUGUUUAGCAAAAUGACCUGGGCGUUUGCAAUUGAAGCAGUUGCCCGUGGGCUUAUUGCCAGCCUGGAUGGCACCGGCAAGCAAAGACAUCGCAUGACUCUGGCUGCCAACAUCGGCACAGGUCUGAAUCAUAUCGGCCAGGCCAUAUUUAGGGCGAUGUAUAAUUGAAUGCAAAGCCUUCUUGCAAUCAGUGUUUGCAUUUUCAAAAGCCAAUUUUUUCAUCAAUUCAUUUUGAGCUGUAGUGUCAUCAAUCUGCCUAGUGAUUGAUUCUUUCAAUCUAUCUAUAAAUUGAUGGUAAGGCUCCGAAUGUUGUUGCUUAAUAUUAACAAAGGAGCUCAGCGGUUGCCCUGAG